rnacentral:rRNA from 1 species
CAGUAGCCGCGGUAAUACGUAGGUGGCAAGCGUUGUCCGGAUUUAUUGGGCGUAAAGCGAGCGCUGGCGGUCAAUUAAGUCUGAUGUGAAAGCCCCCGGCUCAACCGGGGAGGGUCAUUGGAAACUGGUUGACUUGAGUGCAGAAGAGGAGAGUGGAAUUCCAUGUGUAGCGGUGAAAUGCGUAGAUAUAUGGAGGAACACCAGUGGCGAAGGCGACUCUCUGGUCUGUAACUGACGCUGAGGCUCGAAAGCGUGGGUAGCAAACAGGAUUAGAUACCCCCGUAGUCCCUGUCUCUUAUAC